rnacentral:rRNA from 1 species
AGAGUUUGAUCCUGGCUCAGAUUGAACGCUGGCGGCAUGCCUUACACAUGCAAGUCGAACGGUAACAGGUCUUCGGAUGCUGACGAGUGGCGAACGGGCGAGUAAUACAUCGGAACGUGCCCGAGAGUGGGGGAUAACGGAGCGAAAGCUUUGCCAAUGCCGCAUACGAUAUACGGAUGAAAGCAAGGGACCGCAAGGCCUUGCGCUCAUGGAGCGGCCGAUGGCAGAUUAGGUAGUUGGUGGGAUAAAAGCUUACCAAGCCGACGAUCCGUAGCUGGUCUGAGAGGACGACCAGCCACACUGGGACUGAGACACGGCCCAGACUCCUACGGGAGGCAGCAGUGGGGAAUUUUGGACAAUGGGCGCAAGCCUGAUCCAGCCAUGCCGCGUGCAGGAUGAAGGCCUUCGGGUUGUAAA